rnacentral:rRNA from 1 species
AUAUCGGAACAUGUCCGGAAGUGGGGGAUAACGUAGCGAAAGUUACGCUAAUACCGCAUAUGCCCUGAGGGGGAAAGGGGGGGAUCGCAAGACCUCUCGCUUUCGGAGUGGCCGAUAUCGGAUUAGCUAGUUGGUGAGGUAAAGGCUCACCAAGGCGACGAUCCGUAGCUGGUCUGAGAGGACGACCAGCCACACUGGAACUGAGACACGGUCCAGACUCCUACGGGAGGCAGCAGUGGGGAAUUUUGGACAAUGGGCGCAAGCCUGAUCCAGCCAUACCGCGUGAGUGAAGAAGGCCUUCGGGUUGUAAAGCUCUUUCAGCCGGAAAGAAAUUGCUUCUAUUAAUACUAGGAGUAGAUGACGGUACCGGAAGAAGAAGCACCGGCUAACUACGUGCCAGCAGCCGCGGUAAUACGUAGGGUGCGAGCGUUAAUCGGAAUUACUGGGCGUAAAGCGUGCGCAGGCGGUUUGGUAAGACAGACGUGAAAUCCCCGGGCUUAACCUGGGAACUGCGUUUGUGACUGUCAGACUAGAGUGUAGCAGAGGGGGGUAGAAUUCCACGUGUAGCAGUGAAAUGCGUAGAUAUGUGGAGGAAUACCAAUGGCGAAGGCAGCCCCCUGGGUUAACACUGACGCUCAUGCACGAAAGCGUGGGGAGCAAACAGGAUUAGAUACCCUGGUAGUCCACGCCCUAAACGAUGUCAACUAGGUGUUGGGGAAGGAGACUU